GGCGGGCCCUUCCUGUAUCAUGGCGGCUAAGUGUACACCGUGAGAGGUUUGCUGAGAGUCCUCAGCUACCACAUUUUUCUGUAUUUUCUACUGGAUGUGAGCUGAAUUCAAAGGAUUCUGGGGGACCCACAAACCACGCAAUGAAUUUGCCAUUACCUGUUUGCUGGUCUCAAGUUUCUUCAGGCUCCUACCAUUAAGUCUUCAGCCUUCCAAUGGAGAGUCUUCAGCAGAAAAAGAGGCUGAGAGAAACAGGCCAUGCACCAGAUGUGAUCUCCUGGGUCCUGCUUCCUUGACUCAGUGAGACAUGUCUUUACUAACAACCUAGGUAUGUCUCCAACUAACCAAUGUGACAAUAGAAGUCUAACCACCAGGUAACAUCAGUCAGCAGAUCAUGGAGCAACCUUGCAUCAGUGAAAAAGAGUUUUGGCUGCAUGAGCUGUCAAGAGAGAUUGGAUGGCCAGAGAAUAGAAUCCUCCUUUGUCAGUCACAUAAGUCAGAAGCUCCCAGUGUGUUGCUGAGAGACUCCCAAGUUGGAUUAGCCUGACUUGCUCUAUGGAUUCUACCGAUUGGCUGCAUGUGAAGGACCUGGGAGAAGUCAGUCCCCAAGAAGGUGAUUGUAGGACCAAAUGCCCAAAGACAGAAGUAGAAUUUGUCUUAGAAGCAUAAGUUCUGGGUGGAAGUAGACAAAACCAGUUUUUUAUUUGUUUGUUUUUUUUAACAAAACCGGUUUUGACAGGAUGUGGGCCUUUCCACAUGAGUUGAGAAAUCUUUGUUUCUGUAUGCCAUUUUUCACUGGAAUGUACACAUUUGGUCCUUUUGUGGGAUUGCAUAACCUUUGUUCCUUUUCUCCAGCCCCAUUGUGAUUAAAUGUGAGUUAAUGGAUAAAGAUGCUUGUUAGUUUUGGGACGCUAGAUAAAAAUCUGUAACAGACCUAAAGUCCCAGAGUAAACUACUCAACUCUUUGUUUGCCCGGAACUGAUAUUCCAGGCACCACAAUUGUUAGAACAAGCUGCAAAUGUCUGCUGACCAUCAAUAUGUGACAGUCGACCACUAACCUUUGUUCCCUUUUCUUUAAUUCUAUAUGUUAACUUCCCCCUCAACCCCCUAUAAAAACAGCCUUGGAUUCUGAGCCAGUUGCCUCUCUAAGCUAUUUUGCUUUGGGAGUGCUGUCUGGCCAGACUAAUAAAGGUCUGUUUUUCAACUUGUCCGGUGUGUUCCUUCCCGGGUGUUCUUCACUGUAGUCAGCUCCUUGGAGCAUUUGGUGAGGCUCUUGGUCUUACAUUCUGAAGGCACCGCUGGGAUUCCUGGGUGUGCUUCACUAGUCAGCUCCUCGGAGCGUUUGGUAAGGCCCUCGGUCUUACACUUUCUAGCCCUGUGGGUGGGGCUAAGACCUAAUCAUCCUGUCCUAUAUAAGGAUGGUAAUUUUAAUGUGGCCAGAAUCCUGAUGUUCUCAGCUCAGUGCAUGCAGCUCCACUACUCACCAUGCUGUGCAGUGAGCAGGAGGAUCCAGAGGAGAUUCAGGACUGAAAUGAGGUUUCUGUGUGGGUGAGACUUGGCUUUGUUGCGUGCCAUGUUUUCUUUCUGCAGCAACCUAUAUAUUAUUGUACAGUGUCCACUAAAUUUGUCUUUAGUAUGAAAGCUGUUUUUUUGUGGGCCCUGUACAUCAGUAGAUUUGUUAAUUGAUAUUUUCAUUAUCUAAAUGUGCUGCUAGGAGGUGACAUUUGCUGCAGAUGUGUUACUAGGGCCAUGUCUGUAGCUACAACCACCUUUCCUUCCUCUCUGGCUGCCAUAGUUUGAACAUAUUUUCCUCCAUCUUGGCACUUUCCCAUCCAGUUUGUACCUUGGAACCAGGAGAACAUGAACCAAAACUGAGUCAACAUAAAACCCACUCCUUUCAGUUGAGCUUGUGGAUAUUUUGUUCCAGUGACAGGAAUGUGGUUAAGACAUAAUUCUGCUAAGUCUGUUAUAAGCUUAAAUAGGAGAUCUCAAACACACAAGUUGUAUCCUUCACUCUGGGCUUCAUUGUGAAGAUGGUAAAUUCCAAAAGUGACAAACACUUCCCCACAGUUCCAAAGUCAUUAUAGGGUGUUUAAAAUCAUUUAAAAAUUAACAUUAGCUAUGAUUAAAUUCAGUGUUAGAUCACUUGCCAAACAUCCGUAUACCUCUUUCUUAUAUUCAGAGCAGUGAAAAUAAUGAAUAAAUAAGUCAAUAAUGAAGUUUUAUAGUGUAUCAUACCAAAAUUAGAUAUGUUUAACAUUUUAAAUAAGAGCAGAAGAAAUCAUGCUGUAAAUGAAAACUACAAGAAAGGACUACCCGUUAAACUCACACUUUUUUUUGAAGUAGUUACUCACAUGUACAUGCAAUUCCUGUAGGAGUGCAAAUGAAAAACAGGAUUGGUCACAUUAUCGCUGUGGUUCAUUGGUAGUUUGUAGACAUUAUUCAUAAUAAGACAUGCUGAAUGAGGUAGUAGUUUGACUAAAAACUGUAUUGCAUCAGGUGAUAAAUACCUUACCUGUCACCAAUUGUUCCUGCCUUAUUGAUGACCAGUCUCCUCCUUUGGCAACUUUUCCAAAGUUUGCCAUGUGUGAUUUUCCAUGAGUGAUGCUCUUUUAGCUUCCUUUCAAUUUUCAAUACUAUAAAGGAUAUUGGAUAGGGAAAUAUUUUGUGAGAGUUUGUUUGUAUUUAUUUGUUUAUUUUUUUGUCUCACUAUUGUUCACAAGUGAUAUGUGAAUGAAGGGAAAAGUAUUUCUCAUCCAUUCCAUUGGGUAUGAAGUUCCAGAUUUUUCAAUUUUACUUGAAAACAAUUACAUUUAUUCCCAGGAAUAAUAGCACAAUGUAUUUUCUGGAUAUUGGAAAGAAGUCAGUGGCCUGUGGAUUUUGGUAACUCCAAAGUAAAGGUGAAGGAUAUGAAAUGUAGCAGCUGAUUCUCCAUUUUUUGAUAAGUCUACUGAUUGUGUUGUUCCACACUUCAGUUUUCUUUAGUGAUAUUCUCAAGAGUUGAAUCUUGUUUUAUAUUCAAUGUUUCUCUUGAGGCAGAUGUGUUAUAGUUACUUUUUAGAUUAAUCUUUAUUCUCUAUACAGUCUUUAUGUUGUGUACCCAGCAAAAAUUUUCUUAUUGAUCUCUUAUGAUUUCCAUAGAUUUCAGUUUCUGCUUCUCCUGAUAUCUACCUGAAUUUUUUAUGAGGAAUCUGUUUCUUCUCUGAAUGUUUUUUCACUAUAAAUUCUUAAG
ensembl:lncRNA